rnacentral:tRNA from 1 species
UAUUCUGUAGUAUAAGAAAUACAGGUGCCUUCCAAGCACAAGAUUUAGAAUAA